UGGGGAAUUUUGGACAAUGGGCGAAAGCCUGAUCCAGCAAUGCCGCGUGUGUGAAGAAGGCCUUCGGGUUGUAAAGCACUUUUGUCCGGAAAGAAAUCCUCUGGGUUAAUACCUCGGGGGGAUGACGGUACCGGAAGAAUAAGCACCGGCUAACUACGUGCCAGCAGCCGCGGUAAUACGUAGGGUGCAAGCGUUAAUCGGAAUUACUGGGCGUAAAGCGUGCGCAGGCGGUUUUGUAAGACGGAUGUGAAAUCCCCGGGCUUAACCUGGGAACUGCAUUCGUGACUGCAAGGCUAGAGUAUGGCAGAAGGGGGGUUAGAAUUCCACGUGUAGCAGUGAAAUGCGUAGAGAUGUGGAGGAAUACCGAUGGCGAAGGCAGCCCCCUGGGCCAAUACUGACGCUCAUGCACGAAAGCGUGGGGAGCAAACAGGAUUAGAUACCCUGGUAGUCCACGCCCUAAACGAUGUCAACUAGUUGUUGGGGAUUCAUUUCCUUAGUAACGUAGCUAACGCGUGAAGUUGACCGCCUGGGGGAGUACGGUCG
rnacentral:rRNA from 1 species